rnacentral:rRNA from 1 species
UGAGACAGGUGCUGCAUGGCUGUCGUCAGCUCGUGUUGUGAAAUGUUGGGUUAAGUCCCGCAACGAGCGCAACCCUUAUCCUUUGUUGCCAGCGAUUCGGUCGGGAACUCAAAGGAGACUGCCGGUGAUAAACCGGAGGAAGGUGGGGAUGACGUCAAGUCAUCAUGGCCCUUACGAGUAGGGCUACACACGUGCUACAAUGGCGUAUACAAAGAGAAGCGACCUCGCGAGAGCAAGCGGACCUCAUAAAGUACGUCGUAGUCCGGAUUGGAGUCUGCAACUCGACUCCAUGAAGUCGGAAUCGCUAGUAAUCGUAGAUCAGAAUGCUACGGUGAAUACGUUCCCGGGCCUUGUACACACCGCCCGUCACACCAUGGGAGUGGGUUGCAAAAGAAGUAGGUAGCUUAACCUUCGGGAGGGCGCUUACCACUUUGUGAUUCAUGACUGGGGUGAAGUCGUAACAAGGUAACCGUAGGGGAACCUGCGGUUGGAUCACCUCCUUACCAAGAAG